UUAUUGUCAUCUUGAGCACACAAGCACUCAUAACCUUGGGGACAGAACAGAUGAGGUGAGUGGACCACGCAGAUCUUUGACUUCAAACUCAAAGGGAGCUCAGACCAUGGAGUCAUUCUGCAGCGAUGAUUCUAAGGAAUGCAUUACCAUCAUACAGGUCCUAAAUAAACUCACAUAACCAGGGCUUGCAGGGUAUCUGUAGAGGAGAGGCCCAGUCAAGGAGUAAGGGACUUUAAUAAAUGUAAACUCUUCGUCCUUUCAGAAGCUCUUGGCUGCCCACAUAGGCAUUGCUUCAGUAAUGCUUUGCCAGUUGCUACAGCCGUAACUGCACAAAAUUGUUAUAUCAGCAGCCGUCUGUCAAAAAACCUCAUUGUUAAGGUGCAUCCAAGGUCAUGACAAUGCCAAGGCUGUCUAUUAAGAAUUGCAACAGGCCACAUUGCUGACCCAUCAGCAAGAAUCAGUAUGUGUGGAGAAGUAGCACAGGCCAGAAAGAGUUUCGGCCAGACAGUUGAACCCCGGCAGAGCUCUAUGUUACCUGCCAGGGAGAGCCAAGUCCUGGCUCUUAGAAAAGCUGCUCUCUCCAUUUGCAAGCAGAGACAGGGCACCCAGGAGGGGCCCCAGGAGGCUGGGAGUAUGCUCAGGCAAAAGUGAAACUCAAACCCUGAAAGCUAAGCCCCAAAUCCAAAUAUGCUGUUACGCAAAGCGUCCACAGAUUGGCUCGUGCUUGGUUAUCGUAUGAGGUUACUUGUUGGCAUGUACUGCGCAAUUCUCUGGCAUGCCCGUGGCUCAUCAGUGGCAUUCCUUCUUGAGUCAACACUGACCCGCAGCCUGGCUCAGGGAGGACACUUCAGCCUCGUCCAAGAGGCCAUCAUUUUACGUGAAACCUAAAGCGCACAGUCCUGUUGUGCUGGCGUCAUCCUGUUUGGCUUUUUAUCUCCAAGGAUGACCUGGUGAGUAGAUCCAAAGAGUGCUUGAAAGGCUUAAGGAAAUAUCCUGGGGGUUGCACCUAACUGUUGAAGUGGUAAAGAGUUAUCUGGCAUCACCUGGAUGGAUGCCAAAAGUUACAAUCCGGGCCAGGACUUCGGAGGCCAAGAGAGAUGGCAUCUCUCACGGGAGCAGCGUUAGGCCAAUUACAAUGUUCAGCAUUUUCCCAGCACUUGGAGUUCAGAGCUCUUUGCAAUCAGUUUGUUUCUUUAGCUGAGUUUCUUAAACACACACUACCCCUUGUGGAGCUCUCUGGGCCUCCACCCAAAAGCUAAAGGAUACAAAGAGGAAGAAGAAAAGACUGCACAGCCGACUCUACCCAAAGGGAGAAACCAAGCCAAACAUUUCAGCCUUGCGUUGUUCUCCAAAAGCCUGUCAAUACUUACAAUAGGGGGACCAGGAAGAGCCAAAAUGUGCAGCAAUAGAAGGCUGGCUCUGUAGAGGGUGGAAAAAAAACAAGCGGUCAUUAAAAUCAAGCUGUAGAUUAUAGAGGAAACUUUAAUGAUGUGGAAAAAUAUAAACAAGAGAUUGUCAAGUGAGGGGAGUUGUAAGACAGCAUGCAUGUCUGGUUGUAUUUUGUAAAUACAGAAUACAUACUUUCUGCUUGAUGUGCACAUCCGGAAAAACAACAGUAAAAGUAUAAGUUAAAAUGCUGAUAGAAAUACUUACAGGUAAGGAUUGAUGAAUGAGAGUUUUUAAAUUUAUUUUCCUCCAAAUUAUUUACAGUUUCAACACUUAUUUUUUAUUUUAAAGAUUUUUAAUAUUAAAAAAUAUACUCAUAGUAUUCAGGUCAAAAAAUACAGGAAUUUGCCCCCUUUUCCUCUAAUAUAACUGGGACCCACUUUCCUUCCUUUGUUUGUUUGUUUCUUUCUUUUCACUUCUUCACAUUUUAUCUUUUGAGUUUGAGCCUUACAAAGUAACCUAAGUUAGCUUUGAACUCUUUUUUAUUUUUUUAAGAUUUUAUUUAUUUAUUAUUAUACAACAUUCUGCUUCCAUGUAUAUCUGCACACCAGAAGACGGCACCAGAUCUCAUAGCGGAUGCUUGUGAGUCACCAUGUGGUUGCUGGGAAUUGAACUCAGGACCUCUGGAAGAGCAGUCAGUGCUCUUAACCUCUGAGCCAUCUCUCCAGCCCCAGCUUUGAACUCUUGACCAUCCUGCUUCAGCACCCAAGUGUGUGAUAACAGGAGAAAGGAGCAUAUCACAAUCUUUCUUUUUCUUGCUAAGUCAGUCUGCGGGAUCUCCAGCUAGUGGAAACGGGAGUAGCUUCCACAAAUUUCUUGCUGAAGGCAGAAAGUGGAAUGAGAAGUAUCAGGACUGGAAGGGAAUGCACAUUGAUGGGAUGUAACUUUUCCUGAUUCUGAAGUGUUGAGAAGAUGAAGGUAUAAAGUCUAAGCCUUCCAACCCCAUGUCCAGAGUUGUUCUCACUGUACCACACUACACAGUACUAUUCAAAAGAGCUAUUUUGCUGAUGUUUUAUUUCAGUCUUAGCAUCCCUGGAGGGAUCUGGGGGAGACCAUCCCCUUAUUAUAUGGAUAAUACUUGCUGACACAUGCUAGGCUUUGGGUACCACUUAUGAAGCCAAGCUAUUUCUUGUGAAUAUCUCACAUGUUCUCACAUGAACUCUUGGGGGUUGUGCCUAUUUUACAGACAAAAAAAAAAAAAAGGAAACUUGGGAACACUGAGCAAUUAUCAGGGAACCCACAGCUAAGACAUGAUGGAGCCAAGACUUGAACCUAUACUUAGAUACAGUUCCAGAGUUUAAAAGAGCUCACAUCUUACAGGAUCAACCAAGGGUGAUGGUAGAACAUGAAGACUUCUUAUCUAUUUGGUUAGGCUCUUCAAAGCAGCAAGGAAAGAGUGCAUGCACCUGGAUCCUCCUCGCCAAUAAGGAAACCCAGAGUGCCAUCUCUUUAAGUGAGACACGUAUCAGAACAUGGCAUCGACCCCAGAAAUUGCACAGAGCCAGAGUGUCCCCAGCAUCAACACCUUUCAGGAGAGAAACUGAAUUCAUUUGCCAACAACCAACUCCAUCGGACAGUGCCAGAAAGUACGGGACUGCUUGCGUUCAUUUCUUCGAGAUGAGUCAGGGUUGCAGGGUGUCGAUGAUUAGAUGUAAAUGUUAAACCAAAAGCCCAUGGUGGUCACUUUGGCUUUCCUUCUGUGGAAAUCCAGCUUCUCACUUGGGGGGAAGGGGUUGUGUUACAUGUGAUAUUGGCAUGUUGCUCUGGUUUCCUGAAGCCCCCAUUUUUUGGGUCUCUCUGUGCCCUUCCCAUAUACACAAACACAUUUUCAGGUAAAACAUCUGGAAGGUCCUAUUUCAAAAGAGCAUGGCCAAGAAAAUCUUUCCAUUUGUAAAAAUAAUGUAAACCCUUUAGACUGUAAUGUCCUGCAGAGCAGGGGAAUUAUACAACAGCAAUAAAAUUGUCAGCUUUCAAUAAUCAGCCACAUUUUUUAUGGUAUUUUGUCACUGGGAAAGCACUUUUUAAUAAUCA
rnacentral:lncRNA from 1 species